rnacentral:lncRNA from 10 species
CAGAGUGAACGUAAUGAGGCGAUGUGUGACAAAGGCUGCCACAAGUGUAAAAGGAUGAAAAGAACCCUUUACGUUGCCCUGGCUACAAGCUUUAGGGAUAGAGUUAAUGAUUGAUGAUACCCUCAGAAGGCCGAGAAACAGAAGCCAAUGAAAAUAAAAAUGUUCAUUCUUAACUUACUGAGUUACAUAUACAAAUAUAUUACUAUAAUAAUAUAUGUUAUUCCAUUAUUAUAAUAUAUGAAAAUAAUACAAUAUUCAUAAUAAUAAUCUAUUAUCAUAACAUAACAUAUUAAAAUAAUAUAAUAUCUAUAAUAAUAUUUAAUAUAUUAUGCAUAUUCGAGAGAAAGCGAGAGCCUGCCCUGUAUAUAGUAAUGUGCUAGGUUCUGGUCAUUUAAAAAACAAAAACCUACGUUUCUAAUGCAUAUGUCUGAGAUUGAAUUUAAUUAUGAUGCAAUUGAAAAUCCAACCAGGGCAGUCUAUAAAGAUCUCUGUUCUCCCACUGGAGCUAGUCUAAUCAGGACAGGGAAACUGUGAGAGCAGACAGAGGUGUCUCCAGGACUCAGCGGGAGGCGGAGGUCUCAGCAGGAGGCAGACAGCCGCUCCAUGGAAGGGAUCAGCAUGGACUGGGAUCCUUUCUAAUUUUCCACCUCUCAUCUCAGCUCAUCUCAGCUCCUUUUAUUUAAUCCCCUCUUUCAUCAGGCUUGCUGCUGCUGCUUUUUUUUUUUUUUUCCUGCCAUAUGGAAGAUAAAAACAAAUGCUCACUCCCUUGCCAAACUUACAAAUGUAGACGGACCAAAUGCAUGAGGAAUAUACUCCGCUCAGCUGAGCUUGGGUAAAAAAUGAAGUCACCCUGGAGAAAUGGAACCACAUGAGGAAGCACAUGGAGGUAAGAAUUUAUACACACAACAGGAGACAAUCUGAACAGUAAAUUUUGUCGUUCUGCUGUAAGCAAAGGGAUAUAUAAAGACUUUUUUUUCCAGUAGAGAUAUAAUGGAACUAAUAUUCUAGAGAAAUAUAUCUGGCUUGGAUCCUAUGAUGAUUCUCUUUGGGUCAGAGUGGAGCCUUAUGUUAUAUACAUGCAACCACCUGAGCUAAGGUUACAAACAUUUAAAAGGCAAGAUUUUUUUUAACUAAAAGAUUAAAAUGAAGGUAUGCAUUACAAUAAGAAGUUAUAACUAUGAUAUUGAGGGGAGGGGAGGAAGAGGUUAAAAGUUAAAUAAGUGAAUUUUAAAAGAUGACAGUCAUAGAAAAGUCUAGAUUUUGGCUCUGAAUUUCCUAGCUGCAAAAUGAAAGAGAGCUACAUAGAUGGUUACCUAUGUAGCAUUCAUUGUCAUUGAAGAUAAAACAUUAUCCUGGAAGAGUAAGACUUCCCCAUAGAUUAUCUCUAAUAUAACCUUGUGACAGUGGAUUUCAUAUAGGAUGUACUGAGGGGAAGGAUGUGCUUCCUUGCAUAUAAUUCAGUGUGUUCUUGCCUGAUGCUGUUUCCUGCAGAAGCCUUUCAUGCGAGUCAGUGGAAAAGCUGCCAAAAUGCAGCUGCAAUUCUGCAAGCUUUCAGGACCAUAUGGUCCCAGGAUGUAAUUCUUGGGUGACCUGACUUAAUUAAUGGAUGGAAUCUCAAGGGAUUGAGAUUCAGCUUGGUCUUUCAUAUUAAUCCAUAAUUAUAACUUCUCUCAAAUCAUCCUAUGAUAAUGCUGGACAGAAAGAGCUCUAGGAUGUGCUCUUUGGUGAAGACUGGACUGUAAGUUAAGCAAAUCUGUUCAUUGAUAGUUAACUCUAUUUUAUUUGCUAUAUCAUUUUAAGUGACUUUUACAUGUUAAUAUUUUUUAAAAUUAUCCAAGAUAGCACAAUUACUUCCUUUGGAAAGUGAGAGCCAUAUUUUUUCUACCAGGGUUACCCGUCAUUCCUUAACCUUGUCCUGUCCUUUCCUGAGUUCCUCCCUCGUCUUGUUAGGGGACACAACCUGUGAACCUCAGUCUACUAGUUUAGGAGUGAGCUCCUGACAAGAAAGUGCCAUAACCUAUGAUAUGUGACGUAUUUCACAAAGUUACACUGAGACAAUUUUAUAUGUACUCAGUCUUGUGAAUCAGAGGCCAAAAAGAAGAUGAGUAGUUGGGGGGUGGGAACUUGAGCAAGUAGUUCAUGGAGCUUUGAGAAUGAGACAGGCUUUCUGUAGCAGUGGGUACAGGAAAGUGGAGAAUGUAAAGAUCCAGACAUAACUGCUAAGGAGAGAGGGACCAAGAGAAGCAGAUGCACAGAGAAAGGGAGACAUCAUGAGUAAAAGAAAUGAAGAUAAAAAUUGCUAUUUUAGUUUGCUGGGGCUGCUUUAACAAAAUAUCAUAAACUGGGUGGCUUAAAAAACAACAGAAUUUAAUUUGUCAUGGUUCUGGAGACUGGCAAGUCCAAGAUCAGGGUGCUGGCAUGGUUGGCUUCUGAUGAGGGCCCUCAUCUGUGUUGUGGAUUGCAUACUUCUGGCUGUGCCCUCACAUGGUGGAAGGGAAGAGGGAUCUCCCUGGGGUUCCUUUCAUAAGGGCAUUAAUCGUAUUCAUGAUGGUUCCACCCUCAUGAUCUAGUCACCUCACAAAAGCCCCACCACCUCCUCAUUACUUUAGGGGCUAGAAUUUAAACAUAUGAGUUUUGAGGAGACACAAACAUUCUGACGAUAGCAAGUAAUAGUCUGUGAGCAGCCUGAAGUCUCACCCUUCCAAGCAUUUCUUCAUUCAACUUUCCCAGAGUCAGGGAGAUGUGUCUACAUUGUUUUACAUCAGAAAAAUAUGGGCAAAAAAAAAAAAAGACAAGAAAAGAAAGCAAGCAUGCAAAGAUGUACAGACAAAAGCAAAACUGAUAGACACUAUCAGUGCAUUAAUGGUGAAAGAAAGCAGCUGUAAGUCCCAAACUCCCAGUUCCCAGGUCCAACAACUAUGUACUUUUUUAUGUCUAUGACUUAGACUGCUAUGGGAUCCUUGCAGUGAGCUAGCUCAAGAGGAUCUCUCAUCCAGUAGAAGAAAAAAAAUCCUCAUUAAUUAACAUGUUUGUUUUACUAGCAAAAACAACAAAGGUAUAAUUGUGAAUUAUAUUUACUUGUGAAAAUAUAUUAUGUAAAUAAUCCUGUUACUUACCUGUUGCCUUCUAUUUCAAAUACUAUAUUUUAGUUAAACCUCACAAAUCACCCUUUUUGGAAAGAGGAAAUUGAGACACGGUUGUGUUUAUUACUGCAAUCAAAAGAUUUAUCUAACAGCCCCUCCUGAGUAGAUCAGAGAGAUGUUAUAUAGUUUAUCAUAAAAUACCUAAAGGAAUAAAGUAGAAAACUAUUGUAGUUUAAUCCCAAAGAUAUGUUAAAUUAAACCUGAAUAAAAAGUGAUAAAUAAAAGAAUUGACUGAGC